AGGCUGGAAUUGGGAGCCCCAUUAUUGCUGCUGAUGGAAAAUUCAUAGGCAUGAGCUUUUUUUAUAAGGAUGGAGCUCCUUUCUUACCAAUCACUAUCCUCCAGAAAUGCUUAAAGCACUUCAAUGAAUUUGGGAGAGUUCUGCAGCCAUGGCAUGGUCUGAGGACUGGAUCACUUCAAGCUGAAAAACUGUGUGUCCGUGAAGAAGUACAUGACAGCUUCCCCCAUGCACAUGGCAUUUAAGUACAGAAGAUACUUGCUCCAAUUGUUGAUGAUGGUCACAUUUCCUUGGUUGUUGUUUCCGUCAAGAUGAAGACGAAGUAUGUCCUUUACUCUGCUCCAGGUUUCCAUCAAAAGCAGGCAAAUACUGUGUUAAAGGGGCUGGAGUCAUAUUUGAGUAAGCACGGCAUCGACAUCUCUUCGUAUGCUCACGAAAUUCCAGAUGUUGAGCCUCAAGACAACAAGAAAUGAAGAUAUAUGGCAUCACCUAGGCUGAGGUGUUAAAGUUUAGAAAGAAGCUUGUAAAACGCCUCCUGGAUGAUCCAAGGACCAAAGUCAAUGAAGCUGACAGUACAGUUGACACUGCCCACAGUACUGACACUGACAAGGUUGAGGAAGUUCCUCCUCCACACA